rnacentral:piRNA from 1 species
UGGAAGCCGUGAUAUUGCCUGUCGCAAGUC